CGCCAGACUCCUACGGGAGGCAGCAGUGGGGGAUAUUGCACAAUGGGGGGAACCCUGAUGCGGCGACGCCGCGUGGGUGAAGAAGUAUUUCGGUAUGUAAAGCCCUAUCGGCAGGGAAGAAAUUGGACGGUACCUGACUAAGAAGCCCCGGCUAACUACGUGCCAGCAGCCGCGGGAAUACGUAGGGGGCAAGCGUUAUCCGGAUUCACUGGGUGUAAAGGGAGCGUAGACGGCCAUGCAAGCCUGGAGUGAAAGCCCGGGGCCCAACCCCGGGACUGCUCUGGGACCUGUGCGGCUGGAGUGCGGGAGGGGCAGGCGGAAUUCCUGGUGUAGCGGUGAAAUGCGUAGAUAUCAGGAGGACCACCGGCGGCGAAGGCGGCCUGCUGGACCGCGACUGACGUUGAGGCUCGAAAGCGUGGGGAGCAAACAGGAUUAGAUCCCCCGGUAUC
rnacentral:rRNA from 1 species